GCACAUUUGGCCGAGUGGUUAAGGCGUUCGCCUGCUAGCAGUAGUAGUGACGACAGUGAAUUCCCUCUGGGAGCGAAGGUUCGAAUCCUUCAGUGUGCG
rnacentral:tRNA from 1 species